UUCCGGUAAGGCGCCGAGUUACGCGCUGGGCCCGCCCUCUUGAGUAGCUGGUGUUGAGGACGUGGGGUGUGGUGUCCAGGCUUAUCCUAGUGGAAACGUCUCCCUUGCGUCGGGCUCUUUCUAAGGCUCCAGGCCUAGCAACCCGUGUCGCUCCUCUCCGGAGGACACUGAGCGAGCGCCCUAAGGAGAGACUAAAGCCCUCUCUCCACUGCCGUGCUGUCUUCUGAAGGGUGGGAAGCCGUGGCUCCUCUACUCCGUUUGGCUGCAGGCGUCGGUUUCCUCAAAUUAGUGGUAUUCCCAUAAAAUAAAGAGCAACUGCCAAUACUAGGCGCGUGAUGCUGCGCGAGGAACGAAAAAAUGAGUCGGUCUCUCAGGAGCUUCUGCCCAGGUGGCCCUAGAGAGAGGGAAGUCAGAUGAUGUGAUGUGAGACUACUUUGGCAAGCUGCUAGUCACCACAUGCAUGACGGCGGAAGUACAGCCUUCUCUGCAGACAAGAAAGACUCCAAGUUAGAACCAUUCAGCUGUGCUGCUCCUAGCUUUCUCAUAAAAAACAAAUAAACCUUGGUUAAUUUUAGCUACCAAA